GAGACAGCAGCAGCCGCGGUAAUACGAAGGGGGCUAGCGUUGUUCGGAAUUACUGGGCGUAAAGCGCACGUAGGCGGAUAUUUAAGUCAGGGGUGAAAUCCCAGAGCUCAACUCUGGAACUGCCUUUGAUACUGGGUAUCUUGAGUAUGGAAGAGGUGAGUGGAAUUCCGAGUGUAGAGGCGAAAUUCGUAGAUAUUCGGAGGAACACCAGUGGCGAAGGCGGCUCACUGGUCCAUUACUGACGCUGAGGUGCGAAAGCGUGGGGAGCAAACAGGAUUAGAUACCCCAGUAGUCCCUGUCUCUUAUAC
rnacentral:rRNA from 1 species